rnacentral:rRNA from 1 species
GAGUGUAGGGUUCCUAGCGAGCCCAACCUCCCACCCGUGUUUACUGUACCUUAGUUGCUUCGGCGGGCCCGCCAUUCAUGGCCGCCGGGGGCUCUCAGCCCCGGGCCCGCGCCCGCCGGAGACACCACGAACUCUGUCUGAUCUAGUGAAGUCUGAGUUGAUUGUAUCGCAAUCAGUUAAAACUUUCAACAAUGGAUCUCUUGGUUCCGGCAUCGAUGAAGAACGCAGCGAAAUGCGAUAACUAGUGUGAAUUGCAGAAUUCCGUGAAUCAUCGAGUCUUUGAACGCACAUUGCGCCCCCUGGUAUUCCGGGGGGCAUGCCUGUCCGAGCGUCAUUGCUGCCCAUCAAGCACGGCUUGUGUGUUGGGUCGUCGUCCCCUCUCCGGGGGGGACGGGCCCCAAAGGCAGCGGCGGCACCGCGUCCGAUCCUCGAGCGUAUGGGGCUUUGUCACCCGCUCUGUAGGCCCGGCCGGCGCUUGCCGAACGCAAAUCAAUCUUUUUCCAGGUGACCUCGAUCAGUAG